rnacentral:tRNA from 1 species
GGGGGUGUAGCUCAGCGGUAGAGCAACCGGCUUAUACCCGGUGUUGGCGCCAGAUCAGCGCAAGGUCGUGGGUUCGAAUCCCACCGCCCCUACCA